rnacentral:lncRNA from 1 species
GGAGGUUCCCAGGCUAGGGGUCUAAUCCGAGCUGUAGCCGCCGGCCUACACCACAGCUCACAGUGACACAAGAUCCUUAACCCACUAAGCGAGGCCAGGGAUUGAACCCACAACCUCAUGGUUCCUAGUCAGAUUCGUUAACCAUUGAGCCAUGACGGGAACUCCUUGGGUUGGCUUCUUAGCUCAAUGAGCCACCACGGGAACUCCCAGGGGACAUUCUUGCACUAGAAAGUAGUUCAUUGUUUAUCUGUGAUGCAAACUUACCCGGGUGUCCUGUGUUUUACCUACAACACUACCCACUACCCGAAGCAGCAAGGAGGAGAAGAGGGGGACCUCUGGCAGUUUCCCAUUAGCCUGGAAUCUCCUUUUGGUCUUUCAUCUUUUCCCUCCCCAAACCAGUCAGACCCUCUAGAUCUGGGAGACCCCCUUUCCCUCCAGAGAACCAGGAGGAAGCUGAGGGGCAGAGCUGCCGGCACCUGGGACAAGGUCUUGGAGCAUCUGCCUUCUUCUCCUCGGAAGGUGGCCCUUCCUUCAAGAAGAUGGUGCUGGAUGUCUUCCACGUGCCUCCUGGGCCUCUGUCCACUUUCCCCACCCUGCCUGGGCCCCGGGAAGUUGACCUGCAGACCGCAUGGUGGCCCUCCUUGCCUUUGGCUUCUGGAUGGGCCCAAACAAUGGGAAGUUCUGGCCGGAGACUGGAGCAGGGAGGAGAGUGAGGGCUGGGGCAUUGAUUUCUCUCCCUCCCUCUCUAACAGGUUGGUGACAAGAGCCACACCCGGUAGCCCCUCCUCCCUCCCUGUCUCAGGACCUGUUCUCCUUCCCCAUCCCUGGGGCACACCACCAUCCUGGUGGGCUUUUCUGUGUCCCACUCAACUUAAAAAAAAUUAGACUUCCUUCAACUGCCAUCUGCUUCCUGCGGGAUUCCAACUGCUGUGCAAUUUCAGGGGAAAACUCCCUGUUUUGGAUGAAACUGGAGAAAAUAAGCAGAAUGAGGAGUGAGAAUAUCCCUCCCCGCCCCCAACUCGAGUGCCUGAGCUUGCUCCUAUACAAGGCACCUUCCCAGGCUUCAUUUCCUAAUCUCCGAGGGAGGACCUCUGAGAAGCUGGGUGGGAAUCCUAUACCCACAAGCUCACAGAGGAUAAACCUGCCAAGGCCACACAGGGCAGCAAUGGCCUUGUAGUUGGUCCAGGUCACUCCUGUGACAUACAUCACGUCCAGGAGUUGUGUGGGUCUGGUAGAGGAGCUGUGCUUCCUCCUUGGCCCUCUAGCCCUGACUCUGUCCUUUCGAGGCCCCCCCCUUCUGAGCCCACUGCCUCAUUUUCUACAGCCUCGUGAGUGCUCCUAUGAGCCUCUCCGCCUCCUCCCAGCUGGGUGCUCCUUGGCUGGUGCUCUGCCUUUAGCUCUGUCCCAGAGGAACCUGAAGUUCCCUGUUUUUGACCAAGCCCCCUCUCUCUUCAUAACAUCAUGCCUCUGGCCACAUUCUUUCUUCUUUCUGGUGGGCUCCUUCCAACUGCUCUCCCGGGACAAACAUACUCAUUUUUUUCUCUUGCAGAAAGCCACUUCUAACUGGCUUCUUCCCCAAAGAGCUAAGUCCUCCCUCCUAGGUGUUCCCAUCACUCUGUGUACAUCUUGGAUGUGUCAGCAUCGCCCUGUGUUAUAGUACCUUCUCUUUCUCUUAUUUCUCAUGAGGCAUCACCUCCCCAAGUGUGUGUAUCAGUUAGCUACUGCUGUGUAAAAAACCAUUCCAAAACUUAAUGACUUAACAACAACAAUUCUUUAUUAAACCUGUAAUUCUCUGGGUCAGCUGAUGGUUCUGCAUAUCCUGGUUGGGCUUGGCUGAGCAGUUCUGCUCCUGGCUAGGGCCCCCUCCCUGUCAGCUGAUUGUUGGCUGAUCUAGAAUGGUCUUGGCUGAGAUGACUCAUUUUUAUCCUCUGGGGUCUCUCAUCCUCCAGCAGGCUAGGUCAAGCUGGUGUUUUGGUGGCUGAGCAGAGUUCUGAGGGAACAAGCAGAAGCAUGCAAGGCUGAUGGAAGCUUGAGCUCAGAACUGGCACAGUGUCACUUCCAGCAUGUUUUAUUGGGCAAAACAAGUUACAGCGUCAUUCCAGCUUCAAAGUGUGGCAAAACGGACUUCAUCUCUUGUUGAGAGGAGCUGCAAAGUCACACUGCAAGGGAUGUAUAUACAGGGAGGGGAAAAUUGGUACCACAUUUGCAAUAAAUGUAUUACAAUUUUGGUUGGCCA